CGAGUCGGUCGGAUAGUCGCUGCCGCCCCAGUUUACUGGGGUGGGAGAGGAAAGUCCGGACUCCGCAGGGUGGCGUGCCAGAUAACGUCUGGGCAGUGUGAACUGACAGCCAGUGCAGCAGAGAGAAGACCGCCCUUCAUUUUUUGUUGGGUAAGGGUGAAAGGGUGCGGUAAGAGCGCACCGCGCCACUGGUAACAGUUGGCGGCAAGGUAAACCUCACGCGGAGCAAGACCAAAUAGGCGUACAUCGGCAACCCUGUAUUGGGCGGCCGAAACGGUGACCCGCCGUGUACGCGGGUAGGUUGCUGGAGCGCAUUGGCAACGAUGCGCCUAGAUAAAUGACUAUCGUGGCUUCGGCCAGACAGAAUCCGGCUUAUAGACCGACUCAUUUU
rnacentral:RNase_P_RNA from 1 species